GCGGAACAGGAGUGUGGCAGGAAGGGGGAGUCCUAGGAACUGGUCCCAUGGUAUGGGCGGAGGUCUCCCAGGCCACAGAGGAGAAGAGGGAGGAGGUGUGUCCUAUGUGACUCUGGCAGGAAGGAUCAGGGAGCCCUUCUGAGACAGCGCUUCUGAAAUCGGGCUGGCUGGAACUUUCUGUCAGAAAAUCGGAAUGACUGAAAAAACUCGGCUACUAUGAUAGAGGCCAGAGGGUGGGAAAGAGGAAAGUGAGUUGGGGUAGCGGGAAUCCUAGGUUCCACAGGCAUGGUUUACAGGUACAAUACAUUGUUGGUAACAUGAUGGCUCGGGGACAAACAAGCCUGUCUCCAAGCCGUGCAGGUGCAUUGAGAGGAUGUAGAAAUUCUGGAUUCAUAUCGGGCCCGUCUGCAUUUCUGCCCUCCUCCACCCAGCAUUGAGGGGAGGGCAGGGUAGAACUAAAGCAAAUGUUCUUUUCAAUCCCUGAAUAGGGGCUUGCGUACCUCAGAGGAAGACAGAACACGCACAUUUCUCUGCGUUUGUCUUUGUCUCAUCCUUAGUCUCUAGACCAUUAGCCCCUGUUGCCAUGGGAACUGAAGCUGAGUGUCUGAUGCAUUCAUUGGGCUGUGGGAGAAAAGCAGAGUUGGUCCUUGAAAUAAAGGCCCCUGGGAGAGGGGAUUCUAGCAAGGCAGUCACAUCGAAAGAAUUCACAAUUCCCACAGAGCAGGGUGGGACUCCUCUCAUGGUGUCCUGCCCUCCACACCCCAAAGUGUGAGUUCUCAUGAAGUCCAACCGGAUGCCCAUUCCCUGCAACCGGAGCACCCAACAGACCAAAGAGCACGAGGGGCUUUACCCCAUAAAGACAAAGAAACUGGCUGAGGAGACAAAAGAAAGAAAGUAGCAGAAGCUGGUAAGGAAACAGAGACAGGGUCUCACUUGUGUUGCCAAGAGAGCUUGAGCAUCAACUGGCAGUGAGGACAGCCGGAAAGCAACCGACUUACCCCUCUCACCAGACCUUCCAACUGUCUGCCACACUGGCAUUGCCGUGUAUCCCUGCAUCUUGUUGAUCCCAUUGUGGCAUUGUGGUCAGAGAAUAUACAACUCGCUGAAGAAUCCAUUGUUUAUGGACAUUCCUGGGAUUGUAUUCAUUUAAAUAUCUUUAUGUACAUUGUAGUGAAAUAUAAUACAAAAAUGGAGUUGCAUGAAAAAUGAAGGUACCGCUCAGUAAAUGGUUCCACAGGGACAUCUGAUCCCCUACGAUCUGGGUUAAGAAAUGGUGUACUGUAUUGCUGGCAGCUCAAAAGCACUCUCAUGCCAGUCACUCUUGUCUUCCACCUCGGCCAAUCUAACCACUCUUGUGACUUUUAACACUUGAAGAUAAUCCCGCCUGUUUGUGAACGCAUUACACGUACGUAGAAUCAGUACAGUACAUAUUUUACAGUACAUAUUUUAUAAUCUGGGUUUCUCUUGGUUUUUCAGUAAGGUUUUUCUCCUUACUAUUGACUUCUGUCGUGCUGUGUAGCUGAAUUUCGUUUCUUUGCCUUCCUGCGCAGUAUUUUGAAUUGUAUGACAAUGCCACAAUUUAUUCGUGCCUUUUAUUUCUAAUGGACUCUUCAGUAGUUUCCAGCGCUGGAGUGUUAGUGUUAUUAUUGUGGUGCACGUUCACAAGGAUGUCCUUUGGUUGACAUGCUUAUGCAUUUAAGGCUGUGCUUGCAGGACUGCUUUGAUUACUUUUUCUUCCUUCAUGGCACUGUAAGUGGUGACAGUGGAUGUAGCGGUUUGUAUUUAUUUAUUUAUUUAUUUAUUUAUUUAUUUAUUUAUUUAUUUUUCCCUGAUCUCAGAGGGAAAGCUGUCAACAUGUCACCAGUAAGUAUCGUUGUUUUCGGAGGCUUUUAAAAAAUAUUCCAACUGAAUCAAGAGCGUUUCCUUUUAUUUGCAGUUGGCUAAGAGGUUUUAUCAUAAGUGCGUGGUCAUUUUAAAAAAUCAAACCCAUGAAAUACCCUUCCUGCAUCUGUAGGGAAUAUCCUAUUUUUUCUCUUUCACACAUUACUUCUGAGAGAUAGAUUUUUCAAGCGCUGAACCGCUUCAUUUCUAGAAUACUCGACUUGUUUGUGAUACGUUUUCAUUUUUGGAGAUUUAACUGAUUUGUUUUGCUAAUGCUUUAUCCAAGAUUUCUUCUUCUGUGCUUAUGUGAAAGAUAGGCCUGUGCAUUUCAUUUCUUACCAUGCCCUUUAAGGUUUUUGCCUCAUAAAAUGGGAUGGGAAGCAUUUCCCCUUUUUUAUGUUACCUGGCAAGAAGGUAAGAUUGACAUUCUUUCCUUCACAAAUGUUUUGUAGAAUUAAUCGGUGGCGGCAUCAGAGUCUGUAGGUUCUUGUGGCUGCUGCUGUUGUUUCCUUCAGAUUCCGCCCGUUUAGAAUUUGUAGGACAAUUCAGAUGUUUAGUCUGUUUUCUGUCAUUUUGUUAUCCAAAGUAUCACAUUUGUGGGCAUAAAGCUGUUCAUGAUUUUGAA